rnacentral:lncRNA from 1 species
UAUUCAGUUCCAGUACAGCAAACGGCAUUUUCAUAUGCACAGCAGCCGUAUAUUAGGCAAUAAUCAUAGAAUUCAAAAAGGCAACAGCAUGUCUCAUCACUUGGACAAUAGGAGAAGUCUCCACAUUCACUUGGUGAAGGAGAUGGAGGUGGGGGUGGGGGUGGUGGUGGUGGAGUUGAAGGUGGUGGCGGUGGUGGAGGGACACUUGGUGAUGGAUAGGGAGAUGGUGAAGAGGAUUCUUUGGUUGGAUAAGAGGCCAUGGCAUUGACAGCGCAGACACCAUAUGGUAAAUCAGUGUCUCUUUUUAGAUAGAAAUAUCCAUCCAUUCCC